ACCAAAAGGAGAUGGGUAAUGGAGGGUAGAAAAAGCAUGGGUUUAAGGUGAACAGUCAGAAACCAAAUUUAGAGUCUGGCUUGGUCCGGAAACUUAAAGGCAUUAUUAUGAACUGUUCAUGCUGUCAACAAGUUAAGCUCCUAUUUAAAAAUGACUUGGUAAAGGUCCGCGAACUCCCAACCGAGCAAUCUGCAUGCCAGGGGGCGUUGAUGGUCCAAUGAAUAUGGACGUGAAAGGGUUAAUGCCAGAGUCUCGGGGUGCUGCGAGCGGAGGCGAAGAGGACUGUGGGAGUUCUGUCGUACGUGGCCCCAGGGGCGCCUGGGAAAUAUCCUGUGCGCGUCUCUAUUAUGAUCGAGUGUAAAUGAGGGCCGCCGGCAGGCUGGAAACUAGCUACUGCGGUCGCAGUUGCUCUUUGAAGCCGCAAGGUAGGGGCGAUCGGCUGCCGCUGCCAGGAGAGCGGACGAUGCGGAGAUCCCUGAGCAAUCAUCUAAGAAGUCUGAUCACCUGAAUAGACCACAUGGAGAGACUGUGAGAGCACAUGAAGAGAGGUGGGCAGGGGGAACCCAGCUGCAUCCAACAAUCCAGAAAUCCCUAACAAGAUGCUAGACAUGAAGGAAACCAUCUUGGAUCCACCAGAUCAACCUAGCCACCAGCUGGAUACCACUGAGAGAUGCCAGUGGAGCAGAAUUGUCCAAUAAGCCUUGCCCAAAUUUCUCACCCACACAGUCAUGAGUAUAAUAAAAUGAUUAUUGUUUUCA